rnacentral:rRNA from 1 species
GAUGAACGCUGGCGGCGUGCCUAAUACAUGCAAGUCGAGCGAACGGACGAGAAGCUUGCUUCUCUGAUGUUAGCGGCGGACGGGUGAGUAACACGUGGAUAACCUACCUAUAAGACUGGGAUAACUUCGGGAAACCGGAGCUAAUACCGGAUAAUAUUUUGAACCGCAUGGUUCAAAAGUGAAAGACGGUCUUGCUGUCACUUAUAGAUGGAUCCGCGCUGCAUUAGCUAGUUGGUAAGGUAACGGCUUACCAAGGCAACGAUGCAUAGCCGACCUGAGAGGGUGAUCGGGCACACUGGAACUGAGACACGGUCCAGACUCCUACGGGAGGCAGCAGUAGGGAAUCUUGCGCAAUGGGCGAAAGCCUGACGGAGCAACGCCGCGUGAGUGAAGAAGGUCUUCGGAUCGUAAAACUCUGUUAGUAGGGAAGAACAGAUGUGAAAGUAAAUGUGCACAUCUUGACGGUACCUAAUCAGAAAGCCACGGCUAACUACGUG